rnacentral:ncRNA from 1 species
CCGCAUGUCGCAUGCGUUGGUGUCCAUCCUCGGAUGGAUGAAAAGGGAAUGUGCCAGCGGUUAUUCCGCCAAGCACAGCCGCCCCCGCGACCGUGACCGGAGAGGGUGCCCAAAGCCACUGGCCUAAUAGGCCGGGAAGGCGGGACAUCCGACAGAGGCCCGCCUCUGACAUCCGCAAGCCGGGAGACCUGCCAGCACCCGAAGUUGAAA